rnacentral:rRNA from 1 species
CAGUCGCCACGGGAAUACGUAGGUGGCAAGCGUUGUCCGGAAUUAUUGGGCGUAAAGGGCUCGCAGGCGGUUUCUUAAGUCUGACGUGAAAGCCCCCGGCUCAACCGGGGAGGGUCAUUGGAAACUGGGAAACUUGAGUGCAGAAGAGGAGAGUGGAAUUCCACGUGUAGCGGUGAAAUGCGUAGAGAUGUGGAGGAACACCAGUGGCGAAGGCGACUCUCUGGUCUGUAACUGACGCUGAAGAGCGAAAGCGUGGGGAGCAAACAGGAUUAGAUACCCCUGUAGUCCCUGUCUCUUAUAC